GCAGGUUGAAGCGCGGGUAAGACCGCGUGGAGGACCGAACCCACCUGGGUUGAAAACCGGGGGGAUGACCUGGGGCUAGGGGUGAAAGGCCAAUCAAAUUCCGUGAUAGCUGGUUCUCUCCGAAAUGCAUUUAGGUGCAGCGUCGGUUGAUUGCAUCGCGGGGGUAGAGCUACUGGAUGCUUGCGGGCCCGUAUGGGGUACCAACAGCAGCCAAACUCCGAAUACCGUUGAUGUGUAUUCCGGCAGUGAGUCGGCGGGGGAUAAGCUCCGUCGUCGAGAGGGAGACAGCCCAGAUCGUCGUCUAAGGUCCCGAAGCGUGUGCUAAGUGGGAAAGGAUGUGGAGUCGCAUAGACAGCCAGGAGGUUGGCUCAGAAGCAGCCAUCCUUGAAAGAGUGCGUAACAGCUCACUGGUCUAGUGGUUCCGCGCCGACAAUGUAGCGGGGCUCAAGCACACCACCGAAGACGCGGCAGCGGCCUUUGUGGCCGUUGGGUAGGAGAGCGUCCCCCGAGGGGCGAAGCGGCCGCGCAAGCGCGCCGUGGACUUCGGGGGAGUGAGAAUGCAGACAUGAGUAGCGAGAGACGGGUGAGGAUCCCGUCCGCUGGAUGACCAAGGGUUCCGGGGCCACGUUCGUCGUCCCCGGGUGAGUCGGGUCCUAAGGCGAGGCCGACAGGCGUAGUCGAAUGGAUGAACGGGUGGAUAUUCCCGUACCGGCAGCGAACCGCAAGAGCCGAACGGAUGAGUACUAACCUCCGGUCGCGUGGCGUCGUUCCCUUCGGGGUUCGGGGCGCGUGGCUGUUGGGAAUGUAGUCCUGGUAGGUUAGCGCACAGGGGUGACACGGAAUGGGAGCCGGCCGCGGAGGUGGUUUUCCGUGGUCAAGCACGCAGCCCGUCCCAUAGGCAAAUCCGUGGGGCACGAGGGUGAGGUGCGAUGAUGGGCGCCUUCAUGGCGCGAUAUCCGGUGGUCCAGGCCGUCGAGAAAAGCCUCGGCGCGAGGGGCGUUGCCGCCCGUACCCCAAACCGACACUGGUGGUCAGGUAGAGAAUACCAAGGCGAUCGAGCGAAUCCUGGUCAAGGAACUCGGCAAAUCACUCCCGUGCCUUCGGUAUAAGGGAGACCCCUGAUGGUGAUGGAACUUGCUUCCGGAGCUUUCGGGGGUGGCACAGACCAGGGGGUAGCGACUGUUUACCAAAAACACAGGUGCAUGCGAAGGCGCAAGCCGCUGUAUAUGCACUGACGCCUGCCCGGUGCCGGAAGGUUAAGAGGAUCCGUCAGCCCUCGGGUGAAGCGGUGAAUUCAAGCCCCGGUAAACGGCGGUGGUAACUAUAACCAUCCUAAGGUAGCGAAAUUCCUUGUCGGGUAAGUUCCGACCUGCACGAAUGGCGUAA
rnacentral:rRNA from 1 species